UCGAUUCCCUUAGUAGCGGCGAGCGAAACGGGAAGAGCCCAAACCAACAAGCUUGCUUGUUGGGGUUGUAGGACACUCUAUACGGAGUUACAAAGGACGACAUUAGACGAAUCAUCUGGAAAGAUGAAUCAAAGAAGGUAAUAAUCCUGUAGUCGAAAAUGUUGUCUCUCUUGAGUGGAUCCUGAGUACGACGGAGCACGUGAAAUUCCGUCGGAAUCUGGGAGGACCAUCUCCUAAGGCUAAAUACUCUCUAGUGACCGAUAGUGAACCAGUACCGUGAGGGAAAGGUGAAAAGCACCCCGGAAGGGGAGUGAAAUAGAACCUGAAACCGUGUGCUUACAAGUAGUCAGAG
rnacentral:rRNA from 1 species